AGCGAACGCUGGCGGCAGGCCUAACACAUGCAAGUCGAACGAACUCUUCGGAGUUAGUGGCGGACGGGUGCGUAACACGUGGGAACGUGCCUUUAGGUUCGGAAUAACUCAGGGAAACUUGUGCUAAUACCGAAUGUGCCCUUCGGGGGAAAGAUUUAUCGCCUUUAGAGCGGCCCGCGUCUGAUUAGCUAGUUGGUGAGGUAAAGGCUCACCAAGGCGACGAUCAGUAGCUGGUCUGAGAGGAUGAUCAGCCACAUUGGGACUGAGACACGGCCCAAACUCCUACGGGAGGCAGCAGUGGGGAAUCUUGCGCAAUGGGCGAAAGCCUGACGCAGCCAUGCCGCGUGAAUGAUGAAGGUCUUAGGAUUGUAAAAUUCUUUCACCGGGGACGAUAAUGACGGUACCCGGAGAAGAAGCCCCGGCUAACUUCGU
rnacentral:rRNA from 1 species